GAUGAACGCUGGCGGCGUGCCUAAUACAUGCAAGUCGAGCGAACGGACGAGGAGCUUGCUCCUUUGACGUUAGCGGCGGACGGGUGAGUAACACGUGGAUAACCUACCUAUAAUACUGGGAUAACUUCGGGAAACCGGAGCUAAUACCGGAUAAUAUAUUGAACCGCAUGGUUCAAUAGUGAAAGACGGUUUUGCUGUCACUUAUAGAUGGAUCCGCGCCGCAUUAGCUAGUUGGUAAGGUAACGGCUUACCAAGGCAACGAUGCGUAGCCGACCUGAGAGGGUGAUCGGCCACACUGGAACUGAGACACGGUCCAGACUCCUACGGGAGGCAGCAGUAGGGAAUCUUCCGCAAUGGGCGAAAGCCUGACGGAGCAACGCCGCGUGAGUGAUGAAGGUCUUCGGAUCGUAAAACUCUGUUAUUAGGGAAGAACAAAUGUGUAAGUAACUAUGCACGUCUUGACGGUACCUAAUCAGAAAGCCACGGCUAACUACGUG
rnacentral:rRNA from 1 species